rnacentral:rRNA from 1 species
AUGGCGGCGCAGGAGAUCAAGGACGCCGUGCAGGCUUACACGGGCCUCUCACCCGCGGCCGCCUUCACCGUGCUGGCUCUCAUGCUCGCCACCUACCUCAUCGUCUCCACCCUCUUCGUCGCCCCAGACGCCGCCGCUUCCGCACCGGCGGCUCAUCCCCAGCCGCCUCAGCAGCAGAAGCAGGUGACGGAGGCGGAGGCGGAGGCGGAGGAGCCGUUCGUGCCGCUGUUUCCGGACCCUGUGCAGGUGGGCGAGAUCACGCUCGAGCAGCUCAGGGCGUAUGACGGCAAGGAUCCAGCCAAGUCCAUCCUCAUCGCCAUCCGCGGUCAGGUCUACGACGUCUCGCGCGGGAGUUGUCUAUUUUCUCUUGAGCUCAGGCUGUUUUAUGGACCUCAAGGACCAUACUCCUUGUUUGCCGGGAGGGAUGCAUCUCGGGCCCUGGCAUUGAUGUCAUUUGACCUUAAUGACCUGACUGGAGACUUGGAAGGCCUGAGCCCAGACGAACUGGAGGUUUUACAAGACUGGGAAGAGAAGUUUAAAGAGAGGUACCCUGUGGUGGGCCAUCUUCCUUGUGAGAAAGGCAACAGCUGA